rnacentral:lncRNA from 1 species
AAAGCAAUACGAGAAAUGCCUGAACCGAAAACAAAAGAAGGUUCGUGGUUUCUUAGAUAGAUUGAAUUGCAUUUCACGGUUCAUAUCUCAUCUGAUAGCCACGUGGGAACCCAUUCAAGAAAAAAGGGAGCAAACGGUCAGGUGGAUAAUGAUUGCCAAGGGGCAUUGAAAGAUAAAAGAAUAAGUUGCAGGAACCUCUGAUUCUGAUGCCUCCUGUGGAAGGAACAACUCUUAAUCUGGUACUUGACAGCCCUCGAGGGGUCUAUG